UUUUAAUUCUACAAUAUCAUGAUAUUUCUUAUAAUUUUGGACGUGUUUUGUUAAAAUUGAUUUGGGUUCUUUCGGAUGUUAAUUAGAAAUCGUGGGCUUUGAUCUAAUAGAAGAAAACGAUUUGUAAGAAGUUGAUGAGGUUUUUCUUUGGUUAUUAGUUUAAAGUGUUAGCUUUGUUGUUUGUUGAUUAGGGUUUCACUUGAUUUACUAUCCUGUUCGUGAAAUCUUUAUAGGGAAAUGUAAAUUCUUGAUUGGAACAAUAUAAUUCUGGAAAUUCGAAAGCAAUUUCAUUUAAUGAUGAGUUUUUUUCUCACGGCAUUUUUAUGUUUAAAGCUUGAGAAUUUGAGAUAGCUAGAUACUUGAUCAAGGUUAUAAUCAUUUAAUUAAUGGACUUGAUUCAGACUUUAGAGAUUAGCAUGGUUAUGCACUGUCCAAAACGCAUGUCAUUGUAUUUCUAAGGGAUAAUUUCAGAACCCCCAACAAAAAAAACCAAAAAAAAAAAAAACUUUGGGGGUGUUGUAGAUAAUCCCCUUCAACUACUUUUGACCCGAGAAAACUCCGCUGAACUUUGGGAGUGUUGUGGAUACCCCCCUUGAACUUUUUUUUAUUCUACUAAACCUCCUGAACUUUAGGCUGUCUCACAAAACCCCUGUGAACUUUGAACUUCUCUCACUGGGUGAUUUUUCUUGGUACUCUAUUUGUAUUAUGAACCAAUGAACCCCGUGACAUUGGUCUUACUCUUCGGCUACUAUAGAUUGUACUGCAGAAUCCUAACUACCAUAGUCACUCAUAUGCAUAGUGACAUUGGUAAGAAGCAGACAUUUGCUUAUGUUGAAUUCUUAGUAUGGUGCAGAGAAAUGUAACAAUUUAUACACGAGUUGCAGCUGCCCUUGCUCUAGCUACAGCCUUCUGAUAUAAUUCUUCAUACUGUUUAGCUGAAGAAUCCCAACUGAAAUCUAUUCUCAUUACCUUCUGGACAAUUUAGUUAGCUACUUUCUAGAUAAGAAUGUUAAAAAAGGAAUUAUAGAUACAAAUACUUGAUUUUAGUAAUGAAAGUUUCCAUUCAUUCAUUUGUACAGAUAGCAACCUUAUUAGCUAUUGGCAUAAGUGGCAUGAGAAUGUUACAUGUUGAUUGUUUUUCAUUUCUUAAUACAUAUAUAGAUCUAUUUUCAUGUUGAGUCAAUUUAUAUUCCACUGUAUUAUGUGUUUACUACCAAAAUUGAUGUGCUAUUAAAUUAUUUUUUCAGCGAUCAUGUCUUUAAAUGAUCAAUUUAGCAUCCAUGAUGAUGGUAGUGAUGAUGAGAGUACUUCUAAACGUAAAAGAAGACAAACAUCAAAAGUUUGGGAUCACUUUACGAAGUUAUCUACCGAUAAUGAUGAGAAAACUAAAGUUCAAUGUAAUAUGUGCAAUCAUAUUUAUGUUGGUGGUCAUGGCACUAAGACAAUGUUGAGACACAUGGAUUCUUGCCCGAAAAGGAACUUAGAUGAGGCUGAUUCUUCCAGGAAAAGUAUGCCACUAAAUCAAGAAAAAUAUAGAAAAAUGCUUGCUAGAGUAAUUGCAUUGCAUGGUUAUCCAUUCACUUUUGUCGAACAUCGAGGAAACCAUGAGUUGCAUAGUUUUCUAAAUUCUGAAGUCAAGCAUAUUUCAAGUAACGCUGCUAAAACAGAUUUGAUCAAGUUGUACAAGAAAGAGAAAGGAAAUCUUAAACAAGCUUUAAAGCUAGUUCCUAGUAGAAUUUGUCUAACCACAGAUUUAUGGACUUCUUCCACCUCUGACUACUAUAUGUCUCUCACUGCACAUUAUGUUGAUGACUGUUGGAUAUUGCAGAAUAAGAUAUUAGCUCUAUCUCAUGUUUCACCCCCAUAUAGUGGAGCAAUUUUAGUAGAGAAGUUAUUUCAUUUGUUGAAGGAUUAGGGUAUUGAAAAAAGAAUUUUUACUAUUACCUUGGACAAUGCAUCAUAUAAUGAUGUUUUCAUGAGAAUUUUAAAAUAUCAUCCAGUUUUAGAAGAUCAUUUUGUUAGUAAUGGUGAUUUUUUGCAUGUGCGGUGUUGUGCUCAUAUUCUAAAUAUUGUUGUGCAAGAUGGGCUAAAGGUUAUUGAUAAAUCAUUGUCUAAGAUAAGAGAAUGCAUCAAGUAUGUGAAGAGUCCUCCUGGAAGAAAAAAGAAGUUUGCAGAGUGCAUUGCACAAACUUAUUCAGGUAAAGCGAAAAAAAUUUAGCAGGAUGUGUCCAACAUGUGGAAUUCUACGUUUCUAAUGUUGGAGAGUGUUCUAAACUUUCGUCGAGCAUUUGAGCACUUAGAGUCGAUUGAUCCAAACUUCACUUUUUUGCCAUCAAGUGAAGAAUGGGUAAAGGCUGAAAAAAUUGCAAAGUUUUUAAAACCAUUUUAUGAAGUGUCCACUCUUUUUUCUGGAAGUAAAUAUCCAACUGCCAACUUAUAUUUUGGUGGAGUGUUUAAGAUUCAAAAAUGCAUAAUGGAGGAGAUGAAAAGUGAUGAUCAACAUAUAAAAUCCAUGGCAAAUGACAUGAAAAUAAAAUUUGAUAAAUAUUGGGAAUGCUACAGUGUUAUUUUGUCAUUUGCAGUCAUUUUGGACCCCCGAUACAAGGUGAAGUAUGUAGAGUUUUGCUUUAAGAAAUUGGGAGUUAGUUCUGAUUAUGUGUUGACUAUCUUAGAGAAACUGAGAAGGCUUUACAAAGAAUAUGAGCGAGCAUCUCUAGAUACAUCUGUAGCUGGGAGUAGUGGUGAAGAGAACUUUGGAGAUGUUCCUAAUGAUGAGAUGGUUGAGUUUGAACUGUUUGAGAGUCAACUAUAUUUAGCAAGUAGGUUCAAGUCUCAGUUAGAAGAGUAUCUAGAUGAAAAAUUAGUCAGUUGGAAGAAAAAUGAUCAUUUGAAUGUUCUCGAGUAUUGGAAAGGCGAAUGCGAGAAGCGUCCUCAAUUGUCGAUGAUGGCUCGAGAUAUAUUAAGUAUUCCUAUUACUUCGGUGACCUCUGAAUCGGCUUUCAGCAUUGCGGGACGUGUGCUUGACAAGUAUCGAAAUCGUCUUCUUCCGGAGAAUGCUGAAGCUCAAAUUUGUACUGGUUCUUGGUUAGACGGUAUUCCUUCUCUGGCAGACAUUGAAGAAGGAAAUUUAUUAGUACAUGAUUUCAGUAAUCUAGAGGUUUCUGAAUCGGAAGGCGAAAGUGAUUAAGGUAUGCAUUGCUUAACUGAAGCUGUUCCUGCUGGAUGCUUCUCAAAUUCGAUAAGUAUGGCUACCCUUUGCUGCUGCUGUGUAUUGGAGGAGUGUUGCUGCUUCUGAAACAGGCAGAACGUACCCCUAGUUUCCAAGCUCUGGAAUGAAAUCCCUGCUCCUAUGUUUUCAUAGUCUAUAUACUUGUUACUCGCUUAGCCGGGGAAAAAAUAUAUUGUUGUUUUUUAUGUAGAUCUUGAAAAAACUGCACGGUAAUGUUUAGAGACAUGGUUUAAAGCACAGUUAUGUGUAAAUAUGAUCUUUUAAUCAUGUUCGUGGUGUAAAUAUGUUAAAGUGUGUUAGCU